AGAGAUUUCUGCCAAAGAAAAAGCUUCUAACUUUUAACUUGAGUGGUUUAAUUCCAUUCAUUUCUC
rnacentral:tRNA from 1 species